GCGGGUAUAGUAUAGCGGUUAUUACACGUCCUUGCCAAGGACGAGAGACGGGUUCAAUUCCCGUUACCCGCUCCA
rnacentral:tRNA from 1 species